rnacentral:rRNA from 1 species
UACGUAGGGACCAAGCGUUGUUCGGAUUUACUGGGCGUAAAGGGCGCGUAGGCGGCAUGACAAGUCACUUGUGAAAUCUCCGGGCUUAACUCGGAACGGUCAAGUGAUACUGUCGCGCUAGAGUGCGGAAGGGGCAAUCAGAAUUCUUGGUGUAGCGGUGAAAUGCGUAGAUAUCAAGAGGAAUACCUGAGGUGAAGACGGGUUGCUAGGCCGACACUGACGCCGAAGCGCGAAAGCCAGGGGAGCAAACGGG